UUUCACAACUCUCUAAUCUCUACAAAAUCACUCUCAAAGCUCUUGCAAAUCAGAAAUUCGGACAGAUUCAUACCUCCUUACAAAAGUGAGCAUAACUUGCUCAAAACUCAACCAAAUCACUUGAUUCUUCUUUCUAAAUGCUUGGAUAAUCUUUGGGCUUGAUUCCUUGAUCUCUCCUUGGAGAAAUCAGACCUGGAAAUACCCUAAAAGUGUCCAUAAACUUUCUGUUGUGUUUUAAAAACUUUCUAAACUCUUGUUUACUUCAAACAAACUUGUGUCCUUAUGCUUCUAGUCUCUUGUAUGAUUAGUAAAGCCAAACCAAGGUUGUUUUACACUUAAUAGGAGUGUCUAAACACUCUAAACUUUCUGUUUUAAUCGAGUUCUUAGCUCACAAGUGGUGUCAAGUCUUGAACUUGAAGAUGGUGUGACUACUUGGCUAGCCUAGGCUAACCUACAUACAUGUCCACACACCACUUGAUGUUUUGCUUAGUUAGUUGUAUUAUUUCUUGUACAUAUCUAUGAGGUUCCUAAAGAGAAGAUUCGUCUUCCUACCUCCUACAUGACCACAUGUUAAUAAAUCAUUCGAGGUACCAAAGUGGAGGGUUUCACCUCCCACCUCCUACUUGACUUAUAUGACACCAAGAGGUACCAAAGUGGAAGGUCCAACCUCCCGCCUCCUACAUGACUAAGUAUAUUAUUAUGUAUAUUAUAACUAUGAUAAACCUUAAAACCGAACCCUUGGUAGUGAUUAUAUAAAUCCCCUAUCAAGCAAAUAAGUUUAUCACUAUGUGUGUAGUUCCUUGUCACGAUUCUAAUAGGUCUUGAGCCUAUGAAAUCACAUACAAAUCCUUAGGGAUUACUAUAGUGUCAAGACAAGUGCUAAUACCAUAGUGAAUAUUUUCAUAAUAUUUACUUUUUCAUUCUUUGAAUCUUAAGUCCGAAUAUCCCAUCUUUCUUCCGAAUUACUCAUACACCUUGACUUUCCUCUUGUAGGAUAACUUGGUGUUCCCUCCAUCAAAUCAACUCUUCACGGAUUCAAGUGGGAAAGCUUGCAAAACCGGAUGCUAAAUACUAGUGGACACUUUGGGUUGAUGAUGAUGAUGCUAUGAAAUGAAGUAGCAAUGAUGCCUAGAUACACAUAUAGACGUUUAGGUUUAAAUGUUGUAUCAAUUUUGAUUUUGUUGUUAUGUAUUUCUUUUGAACUUGUUAUUUGAAUUUCCUUGUAUUGUUGACAAUUUAAUUAUGAAAUGAAAUCGGUUUAUUAAAUAUUGACACAAAUAGUGUUAUGAAGUCUCUAGCAAUCUUCACACUUCGUCUCAUCCCGAUGUUUCCGCCAUUGGUUGGGGUGUGACAAGGAACAUGUAAAUCGUUCACAAGAUUAUAAUUUUAAAUAAUUCUCCCAAGUUAUAAAAGAAUUUGUGCCUCGUGCAUUCAAAUCAAUUUUAAUAAACAUUUUACAUAAGAGUCGGUUGAAUGUAUUUACCAGUGUAAACUGACGUAUUUUCCCCAAAAAGAUUAAGUGCAGGUACUACAAGUAAUCGGCUGGCAAUAGCUCCUUAGCUUCUUAAGAAGUCUCGCAAGCUUGAUGUCUUAUCUGUUGAACAACAUUUUCAUUUAUUUUGAUCCCUCCUGUGGAUACUAUUCAACUAUAUGUGAUACAAUCGAUAUUACAAUAAAUGGUUGAAUAAUACUUAUCUU
rnacentral:lncRNA from 1 species